rnacentral:rRNA from 1 species
CCUACGGGAGGCGGCAGUAGGGAAUCUUCCACAAUGGACGAAAGUCUGAUGGAGCAACGCCGCGUGAGUGAUGAAGGUUUUCGGAUCGUAAAACUCUGUUGUAAGGGAAGAACAAGUACGAGAGGGAAUGCUCGUACCUUGACGGUACCUUGCGAGAAAGCCACGGCUAACUACGUGCCAGCAGCCGCGGUAAUACGUAGGUGGCAAGCGUUGUCCGGAAUUAUUGGGCGUAAAGCGCGCGCAGGCGGCCUUUUAAGUCUGAUGUGAAAGCCCCCGGCUCAACCGGGGAGGGUCAUUGGAAACUGGAAGGCUUGAGUACAGAAGAGAAGAGUGGAAUUCCAUGUGUAGCGGUGAAAUGCGUAGAGAUGUGGAGGAACACCAGUGGCGAAGGCGACUCUUUGGUCUGUAACUGACGCUGAGGCGCGAAAGCGUGGGGAGCAAACAGGAUUAGAUACCCUGGUAGUCCACGCCGUAAACGAUGAGUGCUAGGUGUUGGGGGGUUUCCGCCCGUCAGUGCUGAAGCUAACGCAUUAAGCACUCCGCCUGGGGAGUACGGCCGCAAGGCUGAAACUCAAAUGAAUUGACGG